UCAAGGAGAACCACAUCUCGCCACCGGCCACCACAUUUCCAGUUCCGGUCGUCUUCUCCAGCCAAAAAUUUCAGGCCGAGUCUCUCUCUCUCGUUUUUCUCAUUUUUCUCUCGGGAAUUAACAGAUGAUGUGAACAAUGAAGCAUCAUUUCAUGAUGACAAAUUCCUUUCAAAGAAUGGGCAACCCAAAGAAUUCUUCUUAUCCAGCGAUGCUAAUGCUGUAGUUGAACACACAAAAAAGGUUUUGGUAAUUUAGGAUGGUGAAGUUGUUCAUCUUAAGGGGAAGGAGGCACUGGUGGAUCACUUUGAGAAGUCAACGUUUCGAUGUGAUACGAAUGAGUUCCUGCUUGUGUGUUUCAGCCCAGCAAGAGAUGGUUCUGGUAAGUGGGUGAAACAAAAUUUGGUUGGGAAGCAUAUAUAUAUAUAUAUAUAUAUAUAUAUAUAUUAAUUAAUUAAGGGUUUAGUUUAGGGUACCAUAUCAUUGGAGUAUUUGGAGCAAGCGCCGCAAAUAAACACUAUAAUAGUUCCUAUGUGGUUUGUUUAAUGACUUCUAAGUAUUAAUUCAUCUUUUCUAUUCCU